rnacentral:rRNA from 1 species
GAGUUUGAUCGUGGCUCAGAUUGAACGCUGGCGGCAUGCCUUACACAUGCAAGUCGAACGGCAGCACGGGAGCUUGCUCCUGGUGGCGAGUGGCGAACGGGUGAGUAAUGCAUCGGAACGUAUCCUGGAGUGGGGGGAUAACGUAGCGAAAGUUACGCUAAUACCGCAUAUUCUGUGAGCAGGAAAGCGGGGGACCUUCGGGGCCUCGCGCUCUUGGAGCGGCCCGAUGUCGGAUUAGCUAGUUGGUGAGGUAAAGGCUCACCAAGGCGACGAUCCGUAGCAGGUCUGAGAGGAUGAUCUGCCACACUGGAACUGAGACACGGUCCAGACUCCUACGGGAGGCAGCGAGUGGGGAAUUUUGGACAAUGGGGGCAACCCUGAUCCAGCCAUGCCGCGUGAGUGAAG